rnacentral:rRNA from 1 species
GAUGAACGCUGGCGGCGUGCCUAAUACAUGCAAGUCGAGCGAACAGACGAGGAGCUUGCUCCUCUGACGUUAGCGGCGGACGGGUGCGUAACACGUGGAUAACCUACCUAUAAGACUGGGAUAACUUCGGGAAACCGGAGCUAAUACCGGAUAACAUAUUUAACCGCAUGGUUCAUUAGUGAAUGACGGUUUUUUUGUCAGUUAUAGAUGGAUCCGCGUCGCAUUAGCUAGUUGGUAAGGUAACGGCUUACCAAGGCAACGAUGCGUAGCCGACCUGAGAGGGUGAUCGGCCACCCUGGAACUGAACCACGGUCCAGACUCCUACGGUAGGCAGCAGUGGGGAGUCUUCCACAGUGGGCGGAAGCCUGACGGAGCAACGCCGCGUGAGUGAUAAAGGUCUUCGGAUCGGAAUACUCUGUUAUUAGGGAAGAACAAAUGUGUAAGUAACUAUGCACGUCUUGACGGUACCUAAUCAGAAAGCCACGGCUAACUACGUG